rnacentral:lncRNA from 10 species
AGAAAUGUAAUGACUAAGAUUUUAAAUGUUAUGACUAAGAUACAUGUUUAGUUGAUAAAAAUUAAUAAAAAUAAGAAACUUUCCUUCCUAGGGCAGCAUAAGAUCAUUUCAGAAUGAAGAUGCUUUGGGAUCUGACUUCGGACUGUAAGAAUGACAAACUCUGAAUGGGUGCAAAGGUAGCAGAUGACCUUCAAAGGAUGGUGAGAUUAAAUUUACCUACACCUAGAGAAAUAAUUGGAGCACAUGUCUAUUUGGGCCAAGAGGAUAAAGGCCAGUAGAGGAAUCAGAUCAAAGAACUUCCUCAGGGAAGUGUGCAGAGAACUGGAGUGGACCUUCCCCUAGGAAGCUGCCCAAAACGAGAGUGCUGGAAAGCUGGCCGCAGUGAGGCACUUCAGAUCCCAAGGGUAUGCUGGGGAAGCUGCCACAGGUGGGAGCACUUGCUGCUGGACCCUAGGCACUGUUGAAACAACUGCACCAUCUGCAGGAGCCCAGCAAGCCAAAGCCAGGCAUCCCAUCUGGAGAGAGAGAAGACUGAAGCAGAAACACAAUGGGAAGGAAGCAAAGAUGGAGGUAGAAUAGCUGCCACGAGCCCUGAUAGUUUCAGGCCUUGACUGCAUGUCCUUAGGAUCUCAGGCUUCUCUGUUUUUCCUUUGGGUUCCAUGAAAAACCCCGAUAUUUUGGUAAUAAACACCCUUGGGUUGCUUUGCCUGGCUUGAAGAUUUUGCUUACAAACUAAAGAACUGUGGACAAGAUACACUUCUUGUCUCAAGAGGGCCUGUAUAUUUUAGGAUUUAACUGCGUGUACAUGGAAAGAAAGGUCAGGAACGUUGGUUUUACCUCUCUUCUCGAUGAGAACAGCACUGGGCUCCCAAUCACUACUUAACCUUUAUCCUGCAAGUUCUAGUUUUUAAAAUAAUUGAAAAGUUAGAAAAGUAAUAUAGGAUUUUACUUUUGGAAAGUAUUGAACCUAAUGAGAAUGUUUUAAAUUUAAAAUGUAUGUUUUCAGGACCUCCUGGCUUGGUGACUUUGGACAAGUCACUUAAUUGUUUUAAGCCUCUGUUUUUUCAUAUCUAAAAUGGGGUUGAUAACAGUGCUGUCACAAAGGACUGUUGAGGGCAUUUACUAGAAAAUUGUGUCUGCUAGGCACAGUACAGGGCCUGGCACAUGGCUCGCAGAUCUAUCAGUUAGAACCGAAUAUUGCAAGUGAGAGGAAACUCCAAUAUUGGCUUUAACAACACAAUAACUAUCCUGGUGCACGUAGGUGAAAAGGGCGGAGUUAUGACAGGCUUCAGAUGAGGUUUUACCGGAGAUGUAGUUUCUCCAUUCUGCCUUUUGCAAUGUCAUCUUCAUCCUCAGGAUGCAUCCCAUGGUCUUUUGGCAGAUCUGGGCUCUCCCUACUUAGUAGCAAAUCAGAUACAACAGUUCCAACUGUCACAUCCUUAUGCACACUAUGCUUUAGCUCAGGAGAGGGGUGCAUCAUUUCAAACUAGCCUUACCAAAAACUUCACUGGCUCUGAUUAGAUUCCUUAUCACCUCAAGCAUUGUAGGCAGGAGGCGGAAUGGAAUUCACUUAUUGGAUUACUAGCAUCCAGUUCUGGCAUAGGGAUGGUGAAAGGAAUAGGUCCCUAAGGGUGGCUCAUGCCUGUAAUCCCAGCAUUUUGGGAGGCUGAGGCAGGCAGAUCACCUGAGGUCGGGAGUUCGAGACCAGCCUGACCAACAUGGAGAAACCCCGUCUCUACUAAAAGUACAAAAAUUAGUCAGGCAUGGUGGCACAUGCCUGUAAUCCCAGCUGCUAGGGAGGCUGAGACAGGAGAAUCACUUGAACCCAGGAGGUGGAGGUUGCGGUGAGCCGAGAUUGUGCCAUUUCACUCCAGCCUGGGCAACAAGAGAGAAACUACAUCUCAAAAAAAAAAAAAAAAAAAAAAAAAGAGAAGAAAAUAUAAGGAACUCUUUCCAGAAGUAAAGAGAAUAGAUUUGAGGCAGUUGUCUUCUACAGUGCAAAACAUUCAAGAAAUGUACCUUUCUUUCACCUUAAAAAGAUUUUUUUAAGAACCCAUACAAAAUAGUAUAUUAUUUUAUCCAGUAUUAUAAUUAUGCAUGAGCUACUACAAUUGCUGCAUACAUUUUUGUGAGUUUAUGUCUGAAUGUGAUUUUUACAAUUGGAUCUUAAGAAAUGUCUUAUUCUUAACCCAAAGGUCGAUCUGAACAAAUCUUUCUUUGUAUUUUAUUUGCCUUUAAAAAAUUCUUUUAUGGGGGCUCUACUCUUCAGAGUCUGCUAAGGAAAUGAGAUUUUGGCAAUGUUUUAAUUCAAAAAAAGAACUCCUAGUUUUACUGUGCUGGAUCUGGUUGUCUUUAGUUUCCAUUAUAUUCCUGUUCCAUUAUUCCUUCAAUAACUUUGUUCUCCCAUGACUCUUCUUUAUUGUUACCACAUUUUUUCUGUUCUUUUCAGAGAUGAGUUUUUGGAUUCAACUGAAGCCCUUGCUAUCUGCUAGAGUCAGAGUCAUCACAAUUGGGGGGUCUUCAUUAAGCUACACUUUUUAAUGGAACAUCCUAGUGAGGUUUGAGAGUACAGCUUUAUGGUCUAUAUUACAUUACUAAGCCGAUUUUAUUGGGUUAGUCUAUACGUUUUACAAAUUUGUUAUUCUAAUCUCCCCGAAGAAAUAAUUUCCUUAUUGAUCCCUUUCUUUUUCCCCCAUUUUAUUUUCCCAUAUUUUGUGAUAUCCUCUACUUCAACUUUAAAAAAUUAUAACCAUAGAAAGAAAUACAUUUUACAUUAUGACCCAGUGUGUAUACUCACAGAAACAUAUUCAUAUAGAAAACAAGUUUCACGAAACAAUACUUCCUCUGUACAGUGCACUUUGGUGUUGUUAUUGUGUUCUAUUCUAUUCAUUUUCUUCCAUCCUACUAUGUUAUAAAAGUUGCUCUUUUACAAAUCUGUAAUUUGAUCUUAUGACCCACUGACAUGUCUCAACAUACCAUUUGAAAAUUAUUGCUAAACUGUACUUUCUCACUAGUGAUAUUGUACAUCCAGGGUUUAUGAUUGUGUUCAAGAGAAUUCUUGUCUUUGUAAGGCAAAAAUGGCAAAUAUGUCUAUUUCCAUCUAAAAGAGCAUUAUACAAAAUAAAAUUAUUAAGAGUUUCCACUUAAUAGCUGCACUGUUUAGAGCCCACUGGAAGCACAUCAAGUGAGUAUGCAUGCCAAUUAAUGAAAACCAGAUAAAUUAUAUGAUUCAGUUACUCAUUUUGUUAACUACCCAACACAGUGAUGAUGAACACCUUGAUUGUUUUGACUGUUAUGAAGUAAUUUCUGCACAUCUGCCUCACCAGAUCCAUAAUUUACAUUCAGCUCCCUCACCAGAUCCAUAAUUUACAUUCAUCUCAUUAUAUGAGGCAUCAUGAUUACCACUAAUACAUUAAAAACCAACUUAUAAAAGAAAAUAAAAUUUUAAAUUGUAUUCAGUUUAUAUUUUAUUUACUGGGACUAAACACUUCAUAGCAACAAUGUGUUAUUUUUGAGAAGUGUCUAUACAUAGUAGUGUAAACAUUUAUUUUAAUUAUCAUUAAGAAUCAAAAAAUGAAGAGUAUCUAAAUAAUCCAAUUGAUAUUUUAAGGAAUAAAAAUAUAAGAAUUACAAACAUCAGAUCAUGAAGUUAGUUUUGGUCCAUUUUUGAUUCCACAACACAUUGUUAAAAUGUCAAUGAAAAUAUUAAUAUUCAUUUGGUAUAAGACCAAACAAAAGUAAUUUAUAAAUACAUUUUCUUUUAUUUACAUAUUUAAAUGAAAGGGACUAUCACCUUUAAAAUGGGAAAAGCCUAAAUAUCUCUUUCUUUCUGCCUCUUCCUCCCAUCCUUCUACCCUUCUGUCCUCCAUCUCCAUCUGUUUAUGUACAAAGAAGUUAACUGGCCUAUUCUACACCUCUUGAAAGAUGUAUGAACCAUCAUUUGUUUAUUUAAAUGAGUCCUUGGUAGUUCUAACCCUGGAACAUAUUCUACAGAGUUGCCAGUGCAAAAUAUAGCACAAUGACUCAUCAGCACCUAAAAUUUGUAGCAUCUGCUUGGUGAAUUUUGAUUUGAAACUCGUACUUGAUAUUGUGUUUCUUUUCUGUUCACCAUGUGUUAAUAUGUGUGGUGUAUUUUCCUCCAUAAGCAGUUAACAGUUUCUAAUGUGGAUACUUCAGUUUCAGGGAUGAUUGCCCAUCUCCCUGAGGUGCCCAUUAGGGUGCCCCAAUGAAUCCCAUAGUGUUGUAUAGUUUGCAUUUUAAUUCAGCUAAUCCAAAA